rnacentral:rRNA from 1 species
UACGUAGGGGGCAAGCGUUGUCCGGAAUCAUUGGGCGGUAAAGAGCUCGUAGGCGGCUUGUUGCGUCAGCUGUGAAAACCCGCAGCUCAACUGUGGGCUUGCAGCUGAUACGGGCAGGCUUGAGUUCGGUAGGGGAGACUGGAAUUCCUGGUGUAGCGGUGAAAUGCGCAGAUAUCAGGAGGAACACCAGUGGCGAAGGCGGCUCACUGGCCCGAUACUGACGCUGAGGCACGGAAAGCGUGGGGAGCAAACAGG